AAUCCAAAGAAAUUCCAAACUAUACCUAUUCACUGUACCGUAUAAUUUACGUACAUUACGUUCCAUGGACCGCAGUAAAGCACGGCCGAUGCGACCACGGUCCAUUUUGUGUAUGUAGGUAUAAUCAGUAUAUCGGGCUUGAAAUCGAGUAAUCACGUUGUUUUCUGACGGUCAGUUAUUUUUCCUCAGUCGUUCGUUUUUGAACUGCUAUUAGUGAAGUGUAUUAUAAGCAAAUUAAAUGCAGUGCGACGGCCUUAUGGCUGCAAAUGUCUGUCAAACCAUUAUCGUCCACAAACGGCACCAACGAUUCUGUCAUUUCGUACUCUCACGCCAAAAGCUACAGUCGUGACAUUAGUAAUUUGUUGGCUGUUAUGUUUAUUGAGCCGUCAUCUCCCAGUGAAGUUCUACGACCACCAUUACCAGCAUACGUUUGGGUGCCUGUGACCUUGGUAUAUUUUUGAACCCAGUUAUUGUGAGCGGGUAUCUCCGAUAUUUUUCGUUUAUAAUCGCCGCUGACCGAUUCCGGACCAAACUGUUAAAGCGUCGUCAUCUGCAAAUAUGUGUUAUAUAAGUGAUGUAUAGUUUAACCACUCAGACAAGACGAUAAUAAUCACUGCUUAUAAGGAAAGACAUUUUAAAGGGUAUAUGCAACUAGAAACCAACACGAAAAGAAAAAAUGAGACAAUAUUUUGGUCGUGAAUAUAGAUUAAAACGUUUUUGCGUCGAUGUUCGCGAGUGUUAUUAAUACGAAUUUAUAGUACUAUACAGUAUACAGUGUGGUUAAAUCCCGGUGAUCAAUUUUUGGUCUUGUACAUGUGUCACCACCACCAACUCCAAUCCGACGAAACGCGGGUCUGCCAUUUCCAGAUGAUUGCGUGCCGGGACGGCACGUCAAGUUUCAGAUGUCAGUGGCGUAACUAUACAUGAUGGUGAGGCACGGCAAUGCCCCAGGGUCCUGAGCUUGGAGGGCCUUCGACCUUCGUAAAUACAAUUUAUAUAGGCCUAUUGUUGAAUAUAUAGCUCUGUUAUUUGGGAUCCAGAGACUGUGGAGGAUUGCAAAUAACUCGACGUGUCCAGCGCAGAUUUCUAUGCUUUGUAAAAUAUACCUACUGUUAAUAUUAAUUGUAAACCUCAUGACUACACUCCUAUCCUCCGCUUUCUAAAUUUCUCCACCUUCCAGUCGAUCGUCGUCAUCAACAUAAUACAUAUUUUCUUCGAAAACUUCUUUCUGGACUCUGACUAUAUUGACUCUGCGUUCCUCCUUGCACAUAUAAAUAUAAAGGUACCAAUUCGAAACGCCUGCAAUAGUUUUUAUUUUCUUAUACCACAAUAAUACUUAACCAACUACUUGAGAAACGAGCUUAUCUCUAGGAUGAUGAGAAUCGCCAAUUAAAAUCCGUAAUUCAUUUUCUAAAUUAUUUUGUUUAAUAUGUAAUUUAUUUCAUUUAAAUGUUUGUUAUAUACUCAUACUAUGCCUUUGUGUAUUGGGCUCUUGCCCAUAAUAUUACUAUAAAUAAAUAAAUAAAUAUAGGCACAUAACAUAUACUAAUAUAUUCUUACGAUAACAUAAUAUAGUACCUAAUCUA